rnacentral:rRNA from 1 species
CUAAGCAUAUCAAUAAGCGGAGGAAAAGAAACUAACAAGGAUUCCCCUAGUAACUGCGAGUGAAGCGGGAAGAGCUCAAAUUUGAAAUCUGGCAGUUCUUAAUUGUCUGAGUUGUAAUCUAGAGAAGUGUUACCUGUGCUGGACCAUGUAAAAGUCUUCUGGAAUGGAGCAUCACAGAGGGUGAGAAUCCCGUCUUUGACAUGGACUACCUGUGCAUUAUGGUGUGCUCUCAAAGAGUCGAGUUGUUUGGGAAUGCAGCUCAAAAUGGGUGGUAAAUGCCAUCUAAAGCUAAAUAUUGGCGAGAGACCGAUAGCGAACAAGUACCGUGAGGGAAAGAUGAAAAGAACUUUGGAAAGAGAGUUAAACAGUACGUGAAAUUGCUGAAAGGGAAACGCUUGAAGUCAGUCACGUUGGCUGGAAAUCAACCCGCUUCUGCAUGGUGUACUUUCUGGUCUGACGGGUCAGCAUCAAUUUUGACCAUUGGAUAAAGUCUCUGGGAAUGUGGCAUCUUUGGAUGUGUUAUAGCCCUGGGUCGCAUACACUGGUUGGGAUUGAGGAACUCAGCACGCCGCAAGGCCAGGUUUCGACCAUGAUCGUGCUUAGGAUGCUGGCAUAAUGGCUUUAAUCGACCCGUCUUGAAACACGGACCAAGGAGUCUAACAUGCCUGCGAGUGUUUGGGUGAAAAACCCAUGCGCAUAAUGAAAGUGAAAGUUGAGAUCCCUUCAGGGAGCAUUGACGCCUGGACCAGAUCUUCUGUGACGGAUCCACGGUAGAGCAUGCAUGUUGGGACCCGAAAGAUGGUGAACUAUGCCUGAAUAGGGUGAAGCCAGAGGAAACUCUGGUGGAGGCUCGUAGCGAUUCUGACGUGCAAAUCGAUCGUCAAAUUUGGGUAUAGGGGCGAAAGACUAAUCGAACCAUCUAGUAGCUG